GAUGAACGCUGGCGGCGUGCCUAACACAUGCAAGUCGAGCCAUUCUCUUCGGAGAAGAGCGGCGGACGGGUGAGUAACGCGUGGGUAACCUGCCCUGUACACACGGAUAACAUACCGAAAGGUAUGCUAAUACGGGAUAACAUAAGAAAUUCGCAUGUUUUUCUUAUCAAAGCUCCGGCGGUACAGGAUGGACCCGCGUCUGAUUAGCUAGUUGGGGAGGUAACGGCUAACCAAGGCGACGAACAGUAGCCGACCUGAGAGGGUGACCGGCCACAUUGGAACUGAGACACGGUCGAGACUCCUACGGGAGGCAGCAGUGGGGAAUCUUGCACAAUGGGCGAAAGCCUGAUGCAGCAAGGCCGCGUGAGCGAUGAAGGCCUUCGAGUCGUAAAGCUCUGUCCUCAAGGAAGAUAAUGACGGUACUUGUGGAGGAAGCCCCGGCUAACUACGUGCCAGCCGCCGCAGUAA
rnacentral:rRNA from 1 species